AGAGCGAACGCUGGCGGCAGGCCUAACACAUGCAAGUCGAGCGCGUGUAGCAAUACACGAGCGGCAGACGGGAGAGUAACACGUGGGAACGCGCCCUUCGGUUCGGAAUAACUCAGGGAAACUUGAGCUAAUACCGGAUACGCCCUUACGGGGGAAAGAUUUAUUGCCGAAGGAACGGCCCGCGUCCGAUUAGCUAGUUGGUGAGGUAACGGCUCACCAAGGCGACGAUCGGUAGCUGGUCUGAGAGGAUGACCAGCCUCACUGGGACUGAGACACGGCCCAGACUCCUACGGGAGGCAGCAGUGGGGAAUAUGGACAAUGGGCGCAAGCCUGAUCCAGCCAUGCCGCGUGGAUGAUGAAGGCCUUAGGGUUGUAAAGUCCUUUUAACGGGAAGAUAAUGACGGUACCGUAGAAUAAGCCCGGCUAACUCGCGCAGCAGCCGC
rnacentral:rRNA from 1 species